CUGAGCUGCUGUGACAGAGGGGAACAAGAUGGCGGCGCCGAAGGGGAGCCUCUGGGUGAGGACCCAACUGGGGCUCCCGCCGCUGCUGCUGCUGACCAUGGCCUUGGCCGGAGGUUCGGGGACCGCUUCGGCUGAAGCAUUUGACUCGGUCUUGGGUGAUACGGCGUCUUGCCACCGGGCCUGUCAGUUGACCUACCCCUUGCACACCUACCCUAAGAGGAGUUGUACGCAUGUCAGAGAGGUUGCAGGCUGUUUUCAAUUUGUCAGUUUGUGGAUGAUGGAAUUGACUUAAAUCGAACUAAAUUGGAAUGUGAAUCUGCAUGUACAGAAGCAUAUUCCCAAUCUGAUGAGCAAUAUGCUUGCCAUCUUGGUUGCCAGAAUCAGCUGCCAUUCGCUGAACUGAGACAAGAACAACUUAUGUCCCUGAUGCCAAAAAUGCACCUACUCUUUCCUCUAACUCUGGUGAGGUCAUUCUGGAGUGACAUGAUGGACUCCGCACAGAGCUUCAUAACCUCUUCAUGGACUUUUUAUCUUCAAGCCGAUGACGGAAAAAUAGUUAUAUUCCAGUCUAAGCCAGAAAUCCAGUACGCACCACAUUUGGAGCAGGAGCCUACAAAUUUGAGAGAAUCAUCUCUAAGCAAAAUGUCCUAUCUGCAAAUGAGAAAUUCACAAGCGCACAGGAAUUUUCUUGAAGAUGGAGAAAGUGAUGGCUUUUUAAGAUGCCUCUCUCUUAACUCUGGGUGGAUUUUAACUACAACUCUUGUCCUCUCGGUGAUGGUAUUGCUUUGGAUUUGUUGUGCAACUGUUGCUACAGCUGUGGAGCAGUAUGUUCCCUCUGAGAAGCUGAGUAUCUAUGGUGACUUGGAGUUUAUGAAUGAACAAAAGCUAAACAGAUAUCCAGCUUCUUCUCUUGUGGUUGUUAGAUCUAAAACUGAAGAUCAUGAAGAAGCAGGGCCUCUACCUACAAAAGUGAAUCUUGCUCAUUCUGAAAUUUAAGCAUUUUUCUUUUAAAAGACAAGUGUAAUAGACAUCUAAAAUUCCACUCCUCAUAGAGCUUUUAAAAUGGUUUCAUUGGAUAUAGGCCUUAAGAAAUCACUAUAAAAUGCAAAUAAAGUUACUCAAAUCUGUGAAGACUGUAUUUGCUAUAACUUUAUUGGUAUUGUUUUUGUAGUAAUUUAAGAGGUGGAUGUUUGGGAUUGUAUUAUUAUUUUACUAAUAUCUGUAGCUAUUUUGUUUUUUGCUUUGGUUAUUGUUUUUUUCCCUUUUCUUAGCUAUGAGCUGAUCAUUGCUCCUUCUCACCUCCUGCCAUGAUACUGUCAGUUACCUUAGUUAACAAGCUGAAUAUUUAGUAGAAAUGAUGCUUCUGCUCAGGAAUGGCCCACAAAUCUGUAAUUUGAAAUUUAGCAGGAAAUGACCUUUAAUGACACUACAUUUUCAGGAACUGAAAUCAUUAAAAUUUUAUU
rnacentral:lncRNA from 1 species